GGGGAUGUGGCUCAGUGGUAGGGCAUUUGCCUAGCAUGCACAAGGUCCUGGGUUCUAUUCCCAGCACCA
rnacentral:tRNA from 1 species